UCGAAUCGCAUGGCUUGUGCCGGGAUGCUUCAAUUCAAAUAUCUGCCCUAUCAACUUUCGAUGGUAGGAUAGAGGGCUACCAUGGUUGAACGGGUAACGGGAAUAAGGGUUCGAUUCCGGAGAGGAGCUGAGAAACGGUACCACAUCCAAGGAAGGCAGCAGGCGCGCAAAUACCAAUCCCGACACGGGGAGGUAGUGACAAUAAAUAACAAUAUAGGGCUCUUUCGGGUCUUAUAAU
rnacentral:rRNA from 1 species